CAAGACUGGAUACCAGCUAGUAGCCUCGAUGACAACCAGGCUCCAAGGGAGGAGUGACAACAAUGUGAUUUGGAGAAGACCUGAGCCCUAGGACCAUGCCUCAGGACUACCUGGCAUGAUGACUCCUUGCUGUCCCCAGUCCACCUGGCCGUGCUGCUGCUCCAGUUUCAACUGUUCUGCCUGCGGCUAUGGAACCCUGACCUGUUCACCGGACGUGCUACCGGUCCCCAGACCUGCUGUUUUCAACUCUCUAGAGACAGCAGGAGUGGUAGAGAUACUCUCAAUGAUCGGCUAUGAAAAGCCAACUGACUCCUGAGGUGCUGACCUGAGGUGCUGACCUGUUGCACCCUUGAAAACUACUGUGGUUAUUAUUAUUUGACCAUGCUGGUCAUUUAUGAACAUUUGAACAUCUUGGCCAUGUUCUGUUAUAAUUUCCACCUGGCACAGACAGAAGAGGACUGGCCACCCCUCAUAACCUGGUUCCUCUCUAGGUUUCUUCUUAGGUUUUGGCCUUUCUAGGGAGGUUUUCCUAGCCACCGUGCUUCUAAACCUGCAUUGCUUGCUGUUUGGGGUUUUCGGCUGGGUUUCUGUACAGCACUUUGAGAUAUCAGCUGAUCUAAGAAGGGCUAUAUAAAUACAUUUGAUUUGAUUUGACUAGCCGUAAUAGAUACAUUCUUAAGGUUAUGUGCUAACAUAAAGUAUCCGGCAAAAACAAGCUGGUCUGAAAAUGUUUCCCAUAAAAGACUGUUCUUCUAACCUCAAUUCCAGGUAACAUAAGUGAUUUAUAAACACAUUUAAUUUAGCUAUUUACUUCCUGCUACAGCUGCUAGGGAAGGAGGCUUUGACAUACCACUCGCUGACACAACUUGCCCUAUCCCAUUUGUAUUGCAAUAAAGAACACAUUGACUGUC